GUGCAGCGUGGUGAUUGGAGAAAUCAAAUAGAGCUAUAGAUAUAUGGCAGAGCUUUUUGUGAAUCAGGGAAAGGAAUACGCAGAUGCAAGGCCAAGUUAUCCACCACAACUCUUUCAAUUCAUAGCUUCUAAAACUCCCUCUCACAACCUUGUUUGGGAUGUUGCUACUGGAAGUGGCCAAGCCGCCAAAUCUGUAAGUUCUCUCUCUUCCUUAUCUUUCUAUAUCUUAUACGAGUAUUUAUCUUAAAAAAUGACUCAUCCAUCCAUUAUUAGACAAAAUGCGACAUCAACACCAUCCAUAUGUAUAUACAAUUUCCAAUUUCAUCAUCAUGUAGUUGAGUUAGGUGUUUAGCUUGAUAUACUCUAAUGCGUUGUUUCAAUUUUUUCCAAUAAACCAGACACUUUUGGGCUUCUCCGGAUACACCUAAUGUAAUGCAUAGUGACAUUGAAUUUAAUCUUCAUGCUAGCUAGCUUCGUCAUAGUUAAAUGAAUGUUUCUUAUAAUUUGUCAAAUUUCACACACGCGCAUACACAUAAUACAAUUCUUUUCAAAAAAAUCACUUUUACUCAAAGAAAAACUAUUUCAUGAUUUCAGUUAGCUGCAUUGUACAAGAAUGUCAUUGCUACAGAUGUUAGUGAACAACAACUUGAAUUUGCAACCAAGCUCCCUAAUGUGCAAUACAAACACACCCCUUCAACAAUGUCCAUUCCCGAGCUUGAACAAAUUGUAACACCACAAGGAACCAUAGACCUUGUGACUAUUGCUCAAGGCCUUCAUUGGUUUGACCUCCCAAAUUUCUAUCAACAAGUCAAAUGGGUACUCAAGAAACCUCAUGGAGUCAUUGCUGCUUGGUGUUACUUUUUGCCAAGAAUUAGUGAUGAAGUAGACACUGUCUUUGAUCAAUUCUAUUAUACUGAUUCACAACCUUACUGGGAUUCCGCACGUAAAUUGGUUGAGAAAAACUAUAGAAGCAUUGAUUUUCCAUUUCAGGCAGUGGAUGGAGUUGAUCAUACAGGACCAUUUGAGUUUGUGACAGAAACAUUCAUGAGUUUUGAUGGUUUGUUAACAUAUAUAAAAUCAUGGUCAGCUUAUCAGACAGCAAAGAAGAAGGGUGUGGAGCUUCUUGGUGAGGACGUAGUUGAAAAAUUUAAGCUUGCUUGGGGUGAAGAUGGCCACAAAACUGCCAAGUUUCCAGUUUAUCUGAGAAUUGGAAGAGUUGGAAAUGUCUGAAUAUGUGGAAGUCCAGCUAGUUCUUACUUUGAAGGUGCAACAUCAAAAUAAAAGAAAGAUGCAGUGUUAUUGUGUCAGACUCAACCUCCAAAAUGAACAAGCAAGAAUUUCUUAUGUUGCAUUGCUCAGUUGCUCAUGUUUAUUCACUUGUUAGAAAUAAAAUCUCAUGAUUGUUUGCUGAUAUAAAUUGUAUUUUCGCAAACAAUUUAGUUCCUGUAUUAGAUUUUAAUCCUUAAAUUGUAUUUUCUUACUCAAACACAUGAACCAGAACUACCAUUAAAGCACCUGUAUCACUUCAAUCUUAUUAGACCAUAUGGAAUUUGCGUUGAAAGAAACUUGAUAGCACUUUCUUAUGAAUACAUGAUGAGUUGAUCACUUUAUAAAUAUUUUGUUUCAUAGAAGAAAAAACUUAGGAUAUAAAAAGCUCCGUGAGAUUUCAAUUCCAAUGUUGUUGGUUUUGAUUUGACACAGUUUUGUAACAUAGUAAAUACUCAAAUGAUGGGGGAGGUUAUAUGCAACAUAGAUUUCAAUCUCAAAAUUGUUGAUUUUGUUGGAUUAUAUGAAGAGAAAUACAGAAGCCAAAAGUGAUGUGGAAAGCGAGGAAUGAUAAGGUUUUUAAUAACCGAAAUCCGUAUGUGGGUGAAAUGGUGGAUGAUGUCAAGGUUUUGUCUUGGAGAUGGGCUUUGGAUAGAAUCUCUAUGCCACCGUGUAUGUAUUACGAAUGGUGUUGGAACCCAAGGGAGUGUAUUUUGCGCUUGGUUUGAGUUGCGUAAAUUCUGAUCUUCUGUUGGGGCAUGGGGUUUUUUUGGUUGGUGCAGACAUUCUGCUGGGUUUAGUCUGGUGUUCUGUUACUUUUGGGGCGGCUAUCAGGUCUUAACAGCACCUGCUGUUUUUUUCCUGUGCUGUUGAAGCUGCGCAGCUGCUAUGCUGUAACAGCAUUGCCUGCUGUUUCGGCCCGGUUGUGGUUUAGGGCGUUUAGGUAGCCUUUUGGAUUAUCUGUUUUUGUUUUUGGGUCAGUUAGGUGACUAGUUGUAACUAUGGUUUUGUAAUUCGGGACGGUUUUACCAGAUUACAGGCUCAUAACUUGCUAUUUUCAUAACCUUAGGAUCCUUGGAGGAGUUGUUGCUUUUGUGGUUGUAUAGGGUGUGGGUGUUCCGUCUAUAUGCGGCACCUAUUGUUUCUUUGUGCCGUCCAUACUUUGCGUCUUACGGGGAUGGCGUUAAUAAAUUUGCCAUUUAAAAAAACUAAAAAUGGCCAAAAGUGAUAAAUUUGAGAUGAUAUAAUAGGCUGGUUUAAAUAUGUCUCAAUGUUGAUGGCUGUGAGUUUCAUGUGUUUUUUAGGAAGAAGAUAUAUUUAAUCAAGAAUUUAGAUUAUAGGGACUAAAUUGUAUUUUUUUUUCAAUUAUUAAAAUGAACUAAAUUGAAGUAAGACAGAGGGAGUUAACAGAAAGAAAAGUUGACCUGUGACCAAAACUAUUCCCUCCGUGAUUUAUAAAUAUUGCAGUGCAACGUAGUGAUUGGAGAAAUCAAAGAGUUAUAGAGAUGGCAGAGCUUUUUGUGAAUCAGGGAAAGGAAUACGCAGAUGCAAGGCCAAGUUAUCCACCACAACUCUUUCAAUUCAUAGCUUCUAAAACUCCCUCUCACAACCUUGUUUGGGAUGUUGCUACUGGAAGUGGCCAAGCCGCCAAAUCUGUAAGUUCUCUCUCUUCUCCCUCUCCUUACCUCUUCCUAAAAUCUUACUGUAUCUUAUAUUCUCAAAACAAUUUUUUUUUUUUAUCUUAUCCUUGAAUAAUUAUGAGAAAUUUAAAAGACUAAUAUCUCAAAUUCGUCCUUGAAUUUUGAAAAAUCGGCUAAUUUCGUCCCUGAAUUUUGCGAAAUAUCAAAUUAGUCCCUGAAUUUACAAAAUGUCAAUCAAAUCAGUCCCUCCGUUAAAUUGGUCUGUUAACGGAGGUGACGUGUCACGUUAACCUCUGACAAAGCUUAUCACGUCAGAUGCCAUGUAAGCAGGGACCAAACUGAUUAAUUUACACAAAAUUUCGAAGGACGAAAUUGAUGGAUUUACACAAAAUUUUCAAGGACUAAAUUGAUGGAUUUUCAGAAAAUUGGCAACGGCUCUUUCCCUUCUUUGUGAGUAACGACUCUUUCUCCACUUCCUCAUUAAAAGGCUAUUUCUUCCCCAAAUAUAUAAAUUUGGAACCCUAAUGUUAUAAUUUCUUACAUAGAGUUCAAAAUCCCCAAAAUUUCUUCCAUGAAUUGAUGUAAAAUUUCUUCCCCAAUUCAAAAAACUUAGAACCCUAAUUUUUUUUUAUUAAAUUCGAAAUUCAUAAAUCAAGUGGUCUGCCUUGUAGAUUCAGUGUUUAGAAUUGAUGGGUGGUGCGCGAAUGGGUCCUUGAAUUAUAUUCAAUCCAUCAUUUCGAUCCUCAAAUUAGUGAAAAUAUCAUCAAAUUGGUCCUUGAAUUAUCAUAACAGAUAUCAAUGUGAUCCUUUGAGCAUAUAUUUGCUGAACAAAGUAAAAUGUAAAAGAUAAACACUUUGAUUAUAAAAAGACAAACAUUUGCAUUAUAUCAUAAGUCAAUAUUCGAUGUUAAUAAGUCAUUACAUGGCCAAAAAAACAACAGUACAUAGCCAAAAAGACAACAGUACAUAGCCAAAAAAGCAUUAAUUAAACUAGUCCAAAAGCAUAAUUAAAACAUGCAUCACUGUUUUAGAAAUCCUGGAGUUGGGAUAAACUCCAUGUAUUGGGGUUGAGUAGAAGCGGAUGACCCGUAAUUUGAAUUUGGAACUCUAACAACAUCCUCUUGUUGCACCUCAGUAGCAACAUUCUCAACAACAGUUUCCACACUUGCCACAUUACUUUGUACUUGUUCUUCAGACUCAGUGUCAAUCCAAUUCUUUGGUCUCCUAGCCACACCUUGCUUUGCACAACUUCUUGAUUAUAUGUCUCAUCCAAUUCUCAAUGUGGAAGAUGUGGAUUGACAUUCGCGCACCACCCAUCAAUUCUAAACAUUGAUUCUACAAGGAAGACCACUUGAUUUAUGAAUUUCGAAUUUAAUUAAAAAAGUUAGGGUUAUAAGUUUUUUGAAUUGGGGAAGAAAUUUUACAUCAAUUCAUGAAAGAAAUUUUGGGGAUUUUGAACUCUAUGUAAGGAAUUAUAACAUUAGGGUUCCAAAUUUAUAUAUUUGGGGAAGAAAUAGCCCUUAAUAAGGAAGUGGAGAAAGAGCCGUUACUCACAAAGAAGGGAAAAAGCCGUUGCCAAUUUUCUGAAAAUCCAUCAAUUUGGUCCUUGGAAAUUUUGUGUAAAUCCAUCAAUUUCGUCCUUCGAAAUUUUGUGUAAACCAAUCAGUUUGGUCCCUGCUUGCGUGGCAUCUGACGUGGUAAGCUUUGUCAGAGGUUAACGUGACACGUCACCUCCGUUAACAUACCAAUUUAACGGAGGGACUGAUUUGAUUGACAUUUUGUAAAUUCAGGGACUAAUUUGAUAUUUCGCAAAAUUCAGGGACGAAAUUGGCCGAUUUUUUAAAAUUCAAGGACGAAUUUGAGGUAUUAGUCAAAUUUAAAAUGACUCCUCCAUUACUACUAGAGUAACAAAAAUGUUUCUCGGACACAAAAUCCAACAACAUAUGUACACACACAACAGUUUCUGACUUUUAUAUUGUUUUUUCUCUCCUUUUCGACAUUACACACAUUCAAGUUAUAUUUUAUAGGUGUUGUCAGAUAUGUUAUCCGACUUUUGUAUGUCUAAAUAACAUGUCUCUUAUCGUUACUUCAUUAUUUUAGUUUUUAUUCAUAAUUUAUUUCUCCUCUCUAACAUAUGUGUAUUAAAUCAUUAAGAGAAUUGAGCUAGUUGUUUGGUUUUAUAAUCCCUAAUGCGGGACUUUAUUUUUUUUCAAUACACCCUCUCACGUCUCAUACUUUUAUGUUUGGUGCGUUGAUAUAAAUUGGUGAUUUUAGUAUUAUGUUAUGGUUUCGUAAAACUGACUUAUAAGAUAAGAAUUUUAUAAACUCUAUCAUACCUUCUCCCGGUUCUAAGUGAACCUUGAAUUUUGUCGGAUAUAGGUAAUGCACACUGACAUUGAAUUUGCAUCUGCAUGCUAGCUAGCUUCUUCUUAGUUAUAAAGAAUGUUUUUUAGAAUGCUUCUUCUUAUGGAAAUGAUGAAUUUAACUUUUUAAAAGUUAAAAUAUCGUUGAAUCUAAUGUAAACCUACUACUUUUGAUUUCCUUAACAACUGCCCUUAGGGCUCUCAUUAGUCUAACCCUUACUUUUACUCUAACACACUUAAUUCAUGAUUUCAGUUAGCUACAUUGUACAAAAAUGUCAUAGCCACAGAUGUGAGUGAACAACAACUUGAAUUUGCAACCAAACUCCCUAAUGUGCAAUACAAACACACCCCCUUCAACAAUGUCCAUUCCCGAGCUUGAACAAAUUGUAACACCACAAGGAACCAUAGACCUUGUGACUAUUGCUCAAGGUCUUCAUUGGUUUGACUUCCCAAAUUUCUAUCAACAAGUAAAAUGGGUACUCAAAAAACCUCAUGGAGUCAUUGCUGCUUGGUGUUACUCUUUGCCAAGAAUUAGUGAUGAAGUAGACACUGUCGUUGAUCAAUUCUAUUUUAUUGAUUCAAAACCUU
rnacentral:lncRNA from 1 species